GCUUGCUAGUUGCUGACGAGUGGCGGACGGGUGAGUAACGCGUAGGAAUCUACCGAGUAGUGGGGGACAACAGUUGGAAACGACUGCUAAUACCGCAUAAUCCCUGAGGGGGAAAGGAGGGGAUCUGUUUACAGACCUUUCGCUAUUUGAUGAGCCUGCGUGAGAUUAGCUAGUUGGUGAGGUAAUGGCUCACCAAGGCGACGAUCUCUAGCUGGUCUGAGAGGAUGAUCAGCCACACUGGAACUGAGACACGGUCCAGACUCCUACGGGAGGCAGCAGUGGGGAAUAUUGCACAAUGGGGGAAACCCUGAUGCAGCCAUGCCGCGUGUGUGAAGAAGGCCUUCGGGUUGUAAAGCACUUUCAGCGAGGAGGAAAGGAGUAUGUUUAAUAAACGUGCUCUGU
rnacentral:rRNA from 1 species